rnacentral:lncRNA from 1 species
AAAGAGGGACGACUAUAAUAGUUUCGCCUAUGGGGGUAUCUAUCGGAAGUUUGAGAAGAGAGUUAUCAGAAAGGGUUCUAACACUCUCAGAAUUGUUGGUGAUGUUCUCUUUAGUUGGUCGAGAACUGGAUGUUUGAUUAGAAGUCUCUUUUGCUUUUGAAGCAUUAGAAACUUCUUUUACCUUACUCUCACUUGAAACAUGAAAGUUGGCUAGUUUUUCGGUAAUCUGUUCAACCAGUUUAC